AGAGUUUGAUCAUGGCUCAGAAUGAACGCUGGCGGCAUGGCUAAAACAUGCAAGUCGAACGAACCCGCAAGGGUGAGUGGCGAAAGGGUCAGUAACGCGAUCGAACGUACCCCAAGGUGGGGGAUAGCGGUGGGAAACUGCCGGUAAUACCCCAUAAUCUCUCCGGAGCAAAGGUUUACCGCCUUGGGAGCGGCGAUCGUCCUAUCAGGUAGUUGGCGGGGUAAAAGCCCACCAAGCCGAAGACGGGUAGCAGGUGUGAGAGCACGACCUGCGACAUCGGGACUGAGACACUGCCCGGGCUCCUACGGGAGGCUGCAGUAACGAAUCUUCCGCAAUGGGCGAAAGCCUGACGGAGCAAUGCCGCGUGUGGGAUGAAGCGUCUACGACGUGUAAACCACUGUCAGGGGACAGAACCAAUGAUCGUCCCCAGAGGAAGAGCCGGCUAACCGUGUGCCAGCAGCCGCGGUAAGACAGGGGGCUCGAGCGUUAUUCGGAAUCACUGGGCUUAAAGGGUGCGUAGGCGGAGUUGUAAGUGCUAUGUGAAAUCCCUCGGCUCAACCGGGGAACAGCAGGGCAUACUACUUCUCUCGAGGCAAGUAGGGGCGGGCAGAACAGUGGGUGGAGCGGUGAAAUGCGUAGAUAUCCACUGGAAUGCCGAUGGGGAAGCCGGCCCGCUGGGCUUGUCCUGACGCUGAGGCACGAAAGCGUGGGGAGCAAACAGGAUUAGAUACCCUGGUAGUCCACGCCGUAAACGAUGUACACUAGACCGGUGCGGUUUUGACGCCGUAUCGGUCGAAGUCAAAACGAUAAGUGUACCGCCUGGGGAGUACGGUCGCAAGGCUAAAACUCAAAUGAAUUGACGGGGGCUCACACAAGCGGUGGAGCAUGUUGCUUAAUUCGAGGCAACGCGAAGAACCUUACCUAGGCUUGACAUGGCCGGAUUAGCUCCUGGAAACAGGAGUGACACUCGCAAGAGUGGAACGGUCGCAGGUGCUGCAUGGCUGUCGUCAGCUCGUGCUGUGAAGUGUCAGGUUAAGUCCUUUAACGAGCGCAACCCCUAUCGUUAGUUGCUCACGGGUCAUGCCGAGUACUCUAGCGAGACUGCCGGUGUCAAACCGGAGGAAGGUGGGGAUGACGUCAAGUCCUCAUGGCCUUUAUGCCUAGGGAUGCAAACGUGCUACAAUGGUGCGCACAAAGCGAUGCGAGGCCGCGAGGCGGAGCAAAUCGCAAAAAACGCACCCCAGUUCGGAUUGCAGGCU
rnacentral:rRNA from 1 species